GGGGGGGGGGGGGGGGGGGGGGGGGGGGGGGGGGGGGGGGGGGGGGGGGGGGGGGGGGGGGGGGGGGGGGGGGGAAUGGGGGGAAAGGGCAGGAAAAUGGGGGGAAAUGGGUUAAAAAUGGGGAAAAGCAGCUGGAAAAAGGGGAAAAUGGCACCGGAAUAGGGGGAAAGGGCAGGAAAAUGGGUUAAAAAUGGCAUUAAGGUGACCAAAAAUGAAAUUAAAGGGAUAAAAAUGGCAAUAAACGGGUCAAAAAUGGGCGAAAAAAAUCAAUCAAAUAGAAUUAAAUGGGUCAAAAAAAAUGGGAUCAAAGUGAUCGAAAUGUCAUUGAAUGGGUCAAAAAUGGCAAAAAAUGGCAUUAAAGGGGUUAAAAAUGGGAUCAAAGUGACAAAAAAAUGGAAUUAAAGUGACCAAAAGUGGCAAUAAAGUGACGGAAAUUAACAUUAAGCGAAAUAAAAACGGCAUUAAAGUGAGCAAAAGUGGAAUUAAAUGGGUAAAAAAUGGUGUUAAAUGGAUCAAAAAGUGAAGUUAAAGUGACAAAACCGGCAUUAAAUGGGUCAAAAAUGGUAAAAACAAAAAAAAAAGGGUCAGAAAUGGUAAAAAACGGGUCAGAAAUGGAAUUAAAGUGACUAAAAAUGGGAUUAAAUGGGUGAAAAAUGGGUCAAAAAUGGGAUUAAAGUGACCAAAAAUGGGAUUAAAGUGGUAAAAACGGCAGAAUUUCCCUUUCCCCCUGAAUUUUCACCCCAGUUUUCCCUUUUCCCUCAAUUUGACCCCAAAAUUUUGCUUUUUCCCCUCACUUUUCACCCCCAAAAUUUUCCUUUUUCCCCCUCAAUUUCACACCAAUUUUUCCCUUUUUCCUCAAUUUUAACCCCAAUUUUUCCUUCAGUUUUCACCCCAAAAUUUCCCUUUUUUUCUCAUCAAUUUUCACCCCAAAAUUUCCCUUUCUCCUCAAUUUUCACCCCAAUUUUUCCCUUUUCCGCUCAAUUUUCCCAAAAAAAAAUCUCCGGAAUUCCCUUUCUCCUCAAUUCUCGCUCAAAUUUCCCCUUUUUUCCUCAAAAUUUCACUUUUUUCUCCUCAUAAAA
rnacentral:lncRNA from 12 species